UGUUAUUCUUGAGUAUGGUCAAGGUAGGCGGAAUGUGUAAUGUAGCGGUGAAAUGCUUAGAUAUUACACAGAACACCGAUUGCGAAGGCAGCUUACUGGACCAAAACUGACGCUGAUGCACGAAAGCGUGGGGAUCGAACAGGAUUAGAUACCCUGGUAGUCCACGCCGUAAACGAUGAUCACUCGCUGUUAGCGAUACACAGUUAGCGGCUAAGCAAAAGCAUUAAGUGAUCCACCUGGGGAGUACGGCCGCAAGGCUGAAACUCAAAGGAAUUGACGGGGGCCCGCACAAGCGGAGGAACAUGUGGUUUAAUUCGAUGAUACGCGAGGAACCUUACCUGGGCUUAAAUGUAGAGUGCAUGAGUUGGAAACAAUUCUUUUCUUCGGAACUCUCUGCAAGGUGCUGCAUGGUUGUCGUCAGCUCGUGCCGUGAGGUGUCGGGUUAAGUCCCAUAACGAGCGCAACCCUUAUCGUUAGUUGCCAGCGGGUAAUGCCGGGAACUCUAACGAAACUGCCGGUGUAAACCGAGAGGAAGGUGGGGAUGACGUCAAAUCAGCACGGCCCUUAUGUCCAGGGCUACACACGUGUUACAAUGGCCGGUACAGAGGGCAGCUACCUAUUGAUAGGAUGCGAAUCUCCAAAGCCGGUCUCAGUUCGGAUCGGAGUCUGCAACUCGACUCCGUGAAGCUGGAUUCGCUAGUAAUCGCGCAUCAGCCAUGGCGCGGUGAAUACGUUCCCGGGCCUUGUACACACCGCCCGU
rnacentral:rRNA from 1 species